rnacentral:lncRNA from 1 species
GUUGAGGUAGCAGGAGCUGCAAAAUGCCAUUUAAUAUCCACCAAACAGACAAAUGAGAAGAAAUUGUUAGAACAGAUCAACAACCAAGAAAGAGGUUCUUUUUAGAAAACAAAUCUUCCAGCAAAUUAAGGAUCAUUAAACAGUCUUUCGCCUGGCUUUUUUUGCAUGCUCUUGCUUUCCUAGGAACAAAAAGUGAGCUAUUAAGCAUGCAUUCUAACAGUCCAGAACAUAAUCAACUAGCAACCAAAAGGCCUAAAGGCAUAUUAGCCUUUGCACAGGCAGAUUUUCCAGUAACACAGAAUACAUGCAAAUCAACUCACACACUUUUGAGUUUCCUACAUCCUAUUAGAUAGAGUCAAUGGAGCAUGCAAACACACUGGAUAAUGUAGGUGAUCAAUGAAAACCAAGAAAAGAACUCAUGUAAUAACAUCCAAUGCAAACAAAAAGUGGUCAAGGCAUACCAACAUGCACUUUGAUGGACUGUUCAAAUUACGUAUUCAUUUACCACAAAUAUUCAUAGAUUCUUCAAGAAUAAGUAUGCACGUAUACUAAAGUCACACAGCAACCAGCAAAAUUCCCUUAUUGCAUCACCAACCGAUUGUGAGUAACAAUUACAUGAAGAACGGUGAAAUUUUAAAAGAAAACUACCAAAAAGGAAAAAAAAAAAAAAAUCAAAUAUGAACAGCAAAAGAAAACUGGGCAAUAGAUGCCUCCCUGCCUCUCACACAUUUCUCAUAUUUCCUUCAAAUUUCAUGUUCAACCGAAGAAAAAAAGUUCCAGGAAAAACCAAAAAAAUACCUAUAGGAUUGAUGCAAAUAAAUAUACAUACCGGCUUAAUCACCAGUAUUAACAAAGCACAAAAGCAACAAACAUUAAAAUCGAUCCUAACCAUUCAAUUUUAAAUUUAUGUCCAACAAUGGCACUACAGCAGAUUAAGAAUGCAUCUUAGAGUUGAAGAGCAUAGAGAAUAAGGUCAGUUAGGAGCAAUAGCAUAGAGAACAGGGUCAGUAAGGAGCCUUCCUUCUCAGAAGCAGAAGAAGAAGAUAAAUCCAAAAGAUGAGAUUUGUAGCAUACCAACAAUUCCUCCACACUAUCUCAAGACCUCGAUAUAAACUUCUACAUGAACUCCUUUUCUGCCAAAAGCACCACCUCAUAAAAAUUCAAGUCCUCUCUGCUACAACUUCUCAACCUCAAAACCUGCAAAACCCUGUAACAAGGAAAGAUUCUAUCUUCAAAACUGUACGUCAAGCAGACAGGUUCUCAGCUAAAAUUUCCUUCUUAAACCCAAUUAUGUUCAAGAAGAAUUGGAUUUCUGUCUUCAACUUCUCCUUGGAGGUCAUAAGAAGAAGCUAACCCUCUAAACAUAAUCACACUUUAAUUUCUCCGGAAACCCAUAACUUACGAUCAAAUCAAAUUUUUUCUUGAAACUUUUUCCACUCAGGCAACCGAUCAUAUUAUAUUUCCCCAAACGAGCAUCUCCUUGAGUUAGCUGACACUCAUGACACAAAAAAAAAAAACCAAGCAAGAUCAGAACCCAAAAGAGCUACUCCUUACUUUAUUAGUGGAGUCUCAUAAUAGAAUUUAUUAUCAUAACUCUUGGCAGAUUAGAAAAACUCAAACCACAUCAAGAAGCCAUAAAGGAGCUCGGAAUGUUAUAAUAUCACCUUUGCAGGCCUUCUGAUGUAAUAUGAGGCCUGAAAUGUCGAGAAACCAAAACUGAAAUCAGAACUUGAUGUAAACAAAUAUUAUUUGGGAUUCAUAUGAAUCAUGAAAACAGCAGAACUACCGUAAUGAAAAUGCAGCAUCAAAUCCAUCAUAAUGGAAUUCCAAAAACAACAUACUGCAAGUAACUAAUUGACACCAAAAGGAACAAAAUAAAAGUGGCCAUUGUUGUUUCUGAAUUUCUUUAUCUGCAGAUAUGAAUCUAUAAGUUGAAAAAUCAGUUAAAUCUUUACACAUUUGUUCAAAUAGCAUAUCUUCCACUUUGUGGCAUGCCCAGGUCUUUUAUGGGUUUUCUUUUUCUCUUGCACCACUUCAAAGCAAGGAAAAUGACAUGGUUCUUCAGUGAUUUUUUUUAACAGGAAAAAGGUUAUCCAUAAAACCCUGAACCAUUUUCCGGUCUUUUCAAAUUCAUGCAUAGCUAACUUGAACAUAAUGUCGAAGGAGAAGCACCUACCUCCUUCCCUCCUUACCAGAGCAAAGUGACCAGAGACUCUAAUACAUUACAAACUAAAUUAUAUAAUUUACGUAAAUAUAUAAUUUAUACCAUUGAUCAGAAAAUAAAUAUAAGAGAUAGCAAAAAGAAAAAAGUACAUAGACAAACAAAUGGGAGCUAGGGAGACCCGAACCAAUUUAUAUAUUAAUAUUCCGUCUGAUCUCCUAAUUCCCCCAAAAUCAAAAAGAACGUGAGUUUUAUUGCACUUUUUGACCUGUCAUGCGAGCGCGCCCACCAUGGCAAAGGUCGAACAUGUAAAUUAUAUAAUUUACAUAAAUAUAUAAUUUAUACCCAUGGCAAAGGUCGAACAUGUAAAUUAUAUAAUUUACAUAAAUAUAUAAUUUAUACUAUUGGUCCAAAAAUAAAUAUAAAAAUUAGGGCAAAAAAAAAAAAUACACAGACAAAAAUCAGAGAUAGUAAGAGUUUACCAAAAUAAUAUUUUAAUAUCCCGUGCCAAGCCAAUUUAUAUAUUAAUAUCCUGUCCCGUCUAGCAAUCCCAGCAAAACCAAAAGAAAAACGUGAGUUUUAUUAUGCUUUUUGACCUGCCAUGCAAUCGCACUUACCAUAGAAGAGGUCAAACAUGUAAAUUAUAUAAUUUACAUAAGUACAUAAUUUAUACUAUUGGUUAGAAAAUAAAUAUAAAAAAUAAGAAAGAGAAAAAAAUACACAGGUAGACAAAUAGGAGAUAGGAGAGCCAAGCCAAAAUAAUAUAUUAAUAUCUCAUACCAUCUACCAAUCCCCUCAAACCCAGAAAAAAAAAAUAUGAAUUUUAUUGCACUUUUUGACUUGCCAUGCGAGCGCAUCCGCCAUGGCAAAUGUCAAAAACUUAAAUUAUAUAAUUUAUAUAAACACAUAAUUUACACAAUUAGUCAAAAAUAAACUAUAAGAGUUAGAAAAUAGAUAGAAGUAUACAUACACAAAAUUUGGUGAUAGGGAAAGCCGAGCAAAAAAAUAUGUACUAAUAUCCCUUGUCAUCUCCCCAUCCCCUCAAAACAAAACAAAAUUUUAAUUUUAUUGCAUUUGUAUGGCUGACUUGCCAUGCUAGCGCACCCGUCAUAGUAAAGGUCAGACACAUAAAUUACAUAAUUUAUCUAAAUAUAUAAUUUAUACAAUUGGUCCGAAAAUAAAUAUAAGAGUUAGGAAAAAUAAAAAAGUAUGCAUGUAGACAAAUGGGAGAUAGGGAGACUCGAGCCGAAAUUGUAUGUCAAUAUCCCGUCGCAUCUCCCAAUCCCUUCAAAACUAAAAAUAGGGUGAAUUUUAUUGCAUUUUUUGACCUAUUAUAGCAGGGCACCCGCCGUGGUAAAAGUUAGAAUCAUAAAUCAUAUAAUUUACGUCAGUAUAUAAUUUACACUAGUUGUCAGAAAAUAAAUAUAAAAAUUAAAAAAAAUAAUAAUAAUACACAGGCAGACAAAUGGGAGAUGGGAAGAGCCGGGCCAAAAUAAUAUAUUAAUAUCCCGUGCCAUCUCCUCAUCCCCCCAAAACCAAAAAGACAUAAAUUUUAUUGCACUUUUUGACCUGCCAUGGGAGCGCACCCGCCAUGGCAAAGGUCAGACACGUAAAUUACAAUACUUGAUCUUGUCAAUUCUAACGACAAAUAAUUUUUUUCAUCUCACAAUUUCUCCACACAUCUCACUCUCAUUCCUUCAACACAACCAAUCAGGUAUGGAACGCCACAUAUGAGCUUUCCCAGUGCCAUAUGACCGUACGCACACUACAACACUGGAUCUCAUUGGAAUUGAAUCGUUACCAAUUCUUGAAAAACUGCAACAAAAGGAUAGAUCUCAUAAGAUCUCUAACCUGACUAGCAAAAGUUCAACUUGAUUAUUCAGAAAUCGAGUUCUUCUCUACUUUUCUUAAAUCAUAUAUCAAACUUUUGCAGGAACUACACAAUCAAUUAAUAAUUAUGUGAUGAAAACCAAUAUUGUAGCGCGCAAUUCAAAUACAAUAGUCAGAGGCAACAUUGUAAUAACUAACAGAAUAAUUCAAACUACGGUUUACUAAAAACAGGGUACCUACGGGUACAAGCAAGGAAUAUGAUAUAAAAAUUUGAAAGAAAAAUUUGAUGACAGCAAAUACAAAAAAGAAAGAGAAAGAAGCUGUUGGUUCACUUAUUUGAAUUUCUCUUCUAGCUUAGCUCUAGAAAUUUAAAGUCUUAACCUCGAAUUUGAUAGAACGCUUAUUUGAUAUUUUAACUUCAAAGAGAAAAGAAUAUAUGAAAAGAAAAGAAAAAGAACCUGCAGACUUGAUCAAGAGAAAAUAUGGAAACGAAUCAAAACAAAACAGCCACAGGAAAUAAAGCCUACUUGAGAAAAUUUUUGGAGGUAGACACAUUAGUAUUCAACAAACAAUUCCAUCUCAAUAAUACAAAAACAAAACAAAAUAUUGAUAAAUAUGGGGGAAAAAAUAAAGAUUCAUGGUCCAUGUACCUACGGUCUUGACCAAGAAAAGAUAUGAAAGGAAUCAUAACGAAACAGUCAACGAAGGAAGGAGAAAGCAAGAAGUGUUAACAACAUGUUAUAUAUCCGAAUCAGAGACUGUUCUUGAGAUGUGGAGCAACUCGAAGUUGAUGACAUCCAAUAGGAAAAGAGAGAGAUAAAAAGGGAGAUAAACGUUAUGACAAAGGAUGAUAAAUUUGAAAAAAAAAAAAAAAUUCAAGAUCCAAAACCUGUAGUCUCAAUACAAAAAAAGUAGGAAAGGAAUCAAAAUGAAAUAGCCAAUGCAGGAAAGAGAGAGAGAUGAGUGAUAACAACAUAUGAAAGAACCAAAUCAGAUACUAUUCUUGAGAUUUGGAGAAAUUCCAAGUCGAUGACAUCAAAGAUGAAAAGAGAAAGAGAAAGAGAAAAAAGGAGAUAGACACAUAAGGAUUCAAUGAACAAUUCUAUCUCAACGAUACAAUACAAAGCAAAAUAAUGAUAAAUUUGAAAAAGAAAGAAAAAAAUCAGAACAACACAUUGCAAAAAGUUAAACAAACCAUAUAACGGUUGAGGUAGCAAGCUGCAAAAUGCCAUUUAAUAUCCACCAAACAGACAAAUGAGAAGAAAUUGUUAGAACAGAUCAACAACCAAGAAAGAGGUUCUUUUUAGAAAACAAAUCUUCCAGCAAAUUAAGGAUCAUUAAACAGUCUUUCGCCUGGCUUUUUUUGCAUGCUCUUGCUUUCCUAGGAACAAAAAGUGAGCUAUUAAGC